GCCUGGUGUGGUGGCGGACACCUGUAAUCCCAGCUACUUGGGAGGCUGAGGCAGGAGAAUCACUUGAACCCAGGAGGUGGAGGCUGCAGUGAGCCGAGAUCACACCAUUCUCCAGCCUGGGCAACAGAGCGAGACCCUGUCUCAA
ensembl:misc_RNA Metazoa_SRP Metazoan signal recognition particle RNA